UGUAAGCGUAUACCAAAGUUGUUGCAGUUAAAACGCUCGUAGUCGGAAUUUGGCAGUUCCGGAUGUGUGCACGUCGUGUGCGCACUUCGCGGGGAUUGCUUUUGUGGUCUUGCGUAGGAUGAGGCACUUUUAUUAGUGAACGUCCUCACGCAACCACUUUUACUGUGAGAAAAUCAGAGUGCUCAAAGCAGGCAUUUGCCGUGAAUGUAUUAGCACGGAAUAAUAGAAUAGGACUUGGUUCUAUUUUGUUGGUUUGUUGGGACUGAGUAAUGAUUAAGAGGGACAGUUGGGGGCAUUUGUAUUUCGGUGCUAGAGGUGAAAUUCUUAGAUUACCGAAAGACAAACUGCUGCGAAAGCGUCUGCCAAGGAUGUUUUCAUUGA
rnacentral:rRNA from 1 species